GUGAGGAAUAUUGGGCAAUGGGCGAAAGCCUGACCCAGCCACGCCGCGUGAGUGAUGAAGGCCUUCGGGUUGUAAAGCUCUGUGGGGAGGGAAGAAAAAGCGGGAGAGUAACUGCUCUCGUGUUGACGGUACCUCCUUAGCAAGCACCGGCUAACUCUGUGCCAGCAGCCGCGGUAAUACAGAGGGUGCAAACGUUGCUCGGAAUUACUGGGCGUAAAGCGCGUGUAGGCUGACAUGCAAGUCGGGUGUGAAAUCCCGGGGCUCAACCUUGGAACUGCACUCGAAACUGCACGUCUUGAGUACUGGAGAGGGAAGCGGAAUUCCGGGUGUAGAGGUGAAAUUCGUAGAUAUCCGGAGGAACACCAGUGGCGAAGGCGGCUUCCUGGACAGUAACUGACGCUGAGACGCGAAAGCGUGGGGAGCAAACAGGAUUAGAUACCCGGGUAGUCC
rnacentral:rRNA from 1 species